UACGGAGGAUGCAAGCGUUAUCCGGAAUUAUUGGGCGUAAAGCGUCCGCAGGCGGUUAUCCAAGUCUGCUGUUAAAGCGCGAGGCUUAACUUCGUACAGGCAGUGGAAACUGGGUGACUGGAGUAUGGUAGGGGUAGCGGGAAUUCCCAGUGUAGCGGUGAAAUGCGUAGAUAUUGGGAAGAACACCAGCGGCGAAGGCGGGCUACUGGGCCGAUACUGACGCUGAUGUGCGAAAGCGUGGGGAGCAAACAGG
rnacentral:rRNA from 1 species